GGCGAGGAUAAGCCAUGCGAGUUGAAUGGGAAACCUAAAGUUCCCAUGGCAAACUGCUCAGUAACACAUGAUCAACUUACCCUAUAGAGAAAAAUAACCUCGGGAAACUGAGGAUAAUGUUUCAUAGUUGAAUUGGCUUGGAAAAGUUUUUCGACGAAAGGGGUAAAAAAAAUGGUUUUUAUCUGCUAUAGGAUAGGAUCGUGUUCGAUUAUGGUUGUUAGUGAGGUAAUGGCUCACCAAGCCGAUAAUCGAUAGGGGCCGUGAGAGCGGGAGCCCCGAGAUGGGUACUGAGACAACGACCCAGGCCUUACGAGGCGCAGCAGGCGCGAAACCUCCGCAAUACACGAAAGUGUGACGAGGUUACCCAAAGUGUUCAAUUUUGAACUGUGGUAGGUGAGUAAUGUUCCCUACUAGAAAGGAGAGGGCAAGGCUGGUGCCAGCCGCCGCGGUAAAACCAGCUCUUCAAGUGGUCGGGAUAAUUAUUGGGCUUAAAGUGUCCGUAGCCGGUUUAGUAAGUUCCUGGUAAAAUCGGGUAGCUUAACUAUCUAUAUGCUAGGAAUACUACUAUACUAGAGGGCGGGAGAGGUCUGAGGUACUGCAGGGGUAGGGGUGAAAUCUUAUAAUCCUUGUUGGACCACCAGUGGCGAAGGCGUCAGACUGGAACGCGCCUGACGGUGAGGGACGAAAGCCAGGGGAGCGAACCGGAUUAGAUACCCGGGUAGUCCUGCCCGUAAACGAUGCAUACUAGGUGAUGGCACGGCCAUGAGCCGUGUCAGUGCCGUAGGGAAACCGUUAAGUGUGCCGCCUGGGAAGUACGGUCGCAAGGCUAAAACUUAAAGGAAUUGGCGGGGGAGCACCACAAGGG
rnacentral:rRNA from 1 species